rnacentral:rRNA from 1 species
CACGUAGGGCGCAAGCGUUGUCCGGAAUUAUUGGGCGUAAAGAGCUCGUAGGUGGUUUGUUACGUCCGCUGUGAAAUCCUAGGGCUUAACCCUGGGCUUGCAGUGGAUACGGGCAGACUAGAGGUAGGUAGGGGAGAAUGGAAUUCCUGGUGUAGCGGUGAAAUGCGCAGAUACCAGGAGGAACACCGGUGGCGAAGGCGGGUCUCUGGGCCGAAACUGACGCUGAGGAGCGAAAGCGUGGGGAGCGAACAGG